rnacentral:rRNA from 1 species
UGAACGCUGGCGGCGUGGAUGAUACAUGCAAGUCGAACGGGAACGUUUCCUUCGGGGAACUAGUACAGUGGCGGACGGGCGAGUAACGCGUGAUCAACCUGCCCUUGGGAGGGGGAUAGCUAUCCGAAAGGAUAGGUAAUACUCCAUAAGACUACGGCAUCGCAUGGUGCUGCGGUCAAAGAGUUGGGAUCUUCGGACCUUCUGCCCGAGGAUGGGAUCGCGUCCUAUUAGCUUGUUGGUGGGGUAACGGCCUACCAAGGCGAUGAUGGGUAGCCGGCCUGAGAGGGUGGUCGGCCACACUGGGACUGAGACACGGCCCAGACUCCUACGGGAGGCAGCAGUGCUGAAUCAUUCGCCAAUGCGCGAAAGCGUGACGGUGCGACGCCGCGUGCGGGAUGAAGGCCUUCGGGUUGUAAACCGCUGUCAGGGUCUAGGAAACCGCCGACGUGAAUAGCGGCGGCGCUGACCAGGCCCAAAGGAAGUGCAGGCUAACCUCGUGCCAGCAGCCGCGGUAAGACGAGGUGCACAAGCGUUGUUCGGAAUCACUGGGCAUAAAGAGUGCGUAGGCGGUCUGGUAGGUCGGGUGUGAAAGCCCUCGGCUCAACCGGGGAAUUGCUUCCGAUACUGCCAGACUUGAGAGCGAAAGGGGCAAGCGGAAUUCCAGGUGUAGCGGUGGAAUGCGUAGAUAUCUGGGAGAACGCCGAAGGCGAAGGCAGCUUGCUGGGUCGCAUCUGACGCUGAGGCACGAAAGCUAGGGGAGCGAACAGGAUUAGAUACCCUGGUAGUCCUAGCUGUUAACGAUGGGCACUUUGCUUUGGGGGACCUGAUUCCCUCAGGGCCGGAGCUAACGCGUUAAGUGCCCCGCCUGGGGAGUAUGGUCGCAAGGCUAAAAACUCCAAGGAAUUGACGGGGGCUCACACAAGCGGUGGAAGCAUGUUGGUCAAUGCGAAGCAACGCGAAGAACCGGACCGGGGCUGGACAGGC